rnacentral:rRNA from 1 species
GUGUUUUGUAUUUAUACCCUAAAACUUAGUGAAAGCAAGCGACACAAUUCGAUUGNNNNNAAAUUGGCGUGAUCUAAUGCAUGUUGACGCAUAUUCAUGUGUGUGUGCAUGCUUAGCGCAACGCCGGCCCGUCCUAUGACUAUGUGUCUUGAGCGGAGCUAUAGUUUAUAUGUUGAGACCCGAAAGAUGGUGAACUAUGCCUGGACAGGAUGAAGUCAGGGGAAACCCUGAUAGAAGUCCGUAGCGAUUCUGACGUGCAAAUCGAUCGUCUGAUCUGGGUAUAGGGGCGAAAGACUAAUCGAACUAUCUAAUAGCUGGUUUCCUUCGAAGUUUCCCUCAGGAUAGCUGGCGCAUAUAAAAAUUUGUAUGGCAAUCUCUCCCGGUAAAGCGAAUGAUUAGAGGUCUUGGGGCCGAAACGGCUUCAACCUAUUCUCAAACUUUAAAUGUGUGAGAAGUCUGGCUUACUUAUUAUUUUUUAAUAUGAAGUCUGGACUAUAUUUUAUAAUAUAGAUGCUCAUGUGCCAAGUGGGCCAUUUUUGGUAAGCAGAACUGGCGCUGUGGGAUGAACCG